rnacentral:rRNA from 1 species
ACACGCCCUAGCACGGCGAAACCGCGAAUGNNNNNNNNNNUCAGUUAUGGUUCCUUAGAUGGUAAAAGUUCUAUUUGAGAUAACUGUGGUAAUUCUAGAGCUAAUACAUGCAAAAAACCCUUACGGGGUGCAUUUAUUAGUACAAAACCCUCCUUCUCCUUCGGGGAAGUCGUGGUGACUCUGAAUAACUAUAGCGGAUCGUCGGUUCUACCGGCGACGCAUCUUUCAAGUGUCUGCCUUAUCAACUUUCGAUGGUAGGGUUAUCUGCCUACCAUGGUGGUUACGGGUAACGGGGAAUCAGGGUUCGAUUCCGGAGAGGGAGCCUGAGAAACGGCUACCACAUCCAAGGAAAGGCAGCAGGCGCGCAAAUUACCCAAUCCCAGCUCGGGGAGGUAGUGACGAAAAAUAACGAUUCGAGGCUCUUCCGAGUUCUCGUAAUUGUAAUGAGUACACUUUAAAGCCUUUAACGAGGAACAAUUAGAGGGCAAGUCUGGUGCCAGCAGCCGCGGUAAUUCCAGCUCUAAUAGCGUAUAUUAAAGUUGUUGCGGUUAAAAAGCUCGUAGUUGGAUCUCGGUCGUGCUGCGUCGGUCCUCCUUUCAGGAGGUUACUGUCGUGGCCGACGUUAUGCCGGACUCCUUUCUGGCUCUAAACGGUCGGAAAUGUGUGGCUGGCAAAUUUUACUUUGAAAAAAUUAGAGUGCUCAAAGCAGGCCCAUAGCCUGAAUAAUGGUGCAUGGAAUAAUGGAAUAGGACCUCAGUUCUAUUUUUUUGGUUUUCGGACAGAGGUAAUGAUCAAGAGGGACAGACGGGGGCAUUUGUAUUGCGGCGUGAGAGGUGAAAUUCUUGGAUCGUCGCAAGACAAACUACUGCGAAAGCAUUUGCCAAGAAUGUUUUCAUUAAUCAAGAACGAAAGUUAGAGGUUCGAAGGCGAUCAGAUACCGCCCUAGUUCUAACCAUAAACGAUGCCAACUAGCGAUCCGCCAGAGUUCUAUUUUUGACUCGGCGGGCAGCUCUCGGGAAACCAAAGUUUUUGGGUUCCGGGGGAAGUAUGGUUGCAAAGCUGAAACUUAAAGGAAUUGACGGAAGGGCACCACCAGGGGUGGAGCUUGCGGCUUAAUUUGACUCAACACGGGGAAACUUACCCGGCCCGGACACCGGAAGGAUUGACAGAUUAAGAGCUCUUUCUUGAUUCGGUGGGUGGUGGUGCAUGGCCGUUCUUAGUUGGUGGAGCGAUUUGUCUGGUUAAUUCCGAUAACGAACGAGACUCUAGCCUAUUAAAUACGACGUCCGAUCACUUUUGUGUCGGACGGUCUUCUUAGAGGGACAGGCGGCGUUUAGCCGCAUGAGAAAGAGCAAUAACAGGUCUGUGAUGCCCUUAGAUGUCCGGGGCCGCACGCGUGCUACAAUGAAAGAAUCAGCGUGUUUUUUCCUAAUCCGAAAGGACGGGGUAAUCCGUUGAAACUCUUUCCUGCUUGGGAUAGGGGCUUGUAACUAUUCCCCUUGAACGAGGAAUCCCCAGUAAGCGCGAGUCAUCAACUCGCGUUGAUUACGUCCCUGCCCUUUGUACACACCGCCCGUCGCUACUACCGAUUGAGAGAUUUAGCGAGGACCUCGGACUGAAAGUUCUAUGAUCGCAAGAUUAUGGAACGGACGGAAAGAAGCCCGAACUUGAUUUCUUAGAGGAAGUAAAAGUCGUAACAAGGUUGCC